AUUGAACGCUGGCGGCAUGCCUUACACAUGCAAGUCGAACGGUAACAGGUCUUCGGAUGCUGACGAGUGGCGAACGGGUGAGUAAUACAUCGGAACGUGCCCGAUCGUGGGGGAUAACGAGGCGAAAGCUUUGCUAAUACCGCAUACGAUCUACGGAUGAAAGCGGGGGAUCUUCGGACCUCACGCGGACGGAGCGGCCGAUGGCAGAUUAGGUAGUUGGUGGGAUAAAAGCUUACCAAGCCGACGAUCUGUAGCUGGUCUGAGAGGAUGAUCAGCCACACUGGGACUGAGACACGGCCCAGACUCCUACGGGAGGCAGCAGUGGGGAAUUUUGGACAAUGGGCGAAAGCCUGAUCCAGCCAUGCCGCGUGCAGGAUGAAGGCCUUCGGGUUGUAAACUGCUUUUGUACGGAACGAAAAGCCUCCUAAUAAAGAGGGGUCAUGACGGUACCGUAAGAAUAAGCACCGGCUAACUACGUG
rnacentral:rRNA from 1 species